AAAAAAGAAAAUUAGAAUUUUAUUUCUUACACAUUUCUUUCUUUAGAAAAAAGUAUAUGGAGCCUAAGUUUUCUUAAAUGGCAACCCAAAUUUUGAAAAUUGUUGAUACUGGUCACGAGCAAGCUGAAUGUGCAUGAGCCUUAACCUGCCUCAAGCUAAACAAAAGUAUGUGUACCUAGCAUAAACUCAAUCCAUUGGUUAUUCUGCUAGACAGCAAGCCAAGGUCGAUACUAUCAAGUGGAACAAUAAUUUAGGACCAAGUCAGCCACCCAAGCUUCAUCCCUA
rnacentral:misc_RNA from 1 species